rnacentral:lncRNA from 1 species
CUGAAGUAUUAUUUACACACCACUUUAAAUUAAUUUGUAGAUAUCCUGACAUUCAUCCAUGACUAAACGAGAAUGUUUUAAAUAACAGUAUACUUGCUUAUAUUGCAACAAUAAUAUUAUUCAUAACAAAAUUAACAAAUUAUCAAAUAUUGCCUUGUAUCUUAUUCAUAUUCAACAUUUUUCAAAACAUCUUACGUAAGUGUUUUUAAUUUUAUUUUAUUUUGUGUUUUGUUACAGGAUAUUGUCAAGCAACAAUGAUUUGUCCAACUUUUGUACCUCUUUAGUCUCUGAAUCUACAAUAAUUCCCUCCCAAACAAACACACUUUUUUCCUUUCAUUCUUUCCUACUUCCUCCCUUCUCUCUGCAUUUCUAUCCUGCUCUCUGUCUUUCUCUUUCUCCCUCUCUCUCUGCAUAAUGUAGUUUGCAAUUUAAGAAGCCAUUGUCUUCUACAAUAUCUUUUGUUCUGGAAGAAAAAUCCCUCAACUGUUUUCGAUAAGGGUGAUCCAAAAAAGACAAAAAUGUAUCCUGCUUUACACUAAAAUGCUCAAGGUUCCAGCAACCUCUCAGUUUUCUAAUUGGAGCCUAUGACAGAGGGACACUGGCAAGGGUUAGCAGAGCCCAUCAGGUUUCUGGACCUGUAAUCCCAUGGACUUGUAAGCUCCCGGAGUCAGCUGAAAGGUAAAAGCCUUUUGAUAAUCAUGUGUUUAGCUAUUAUUGGGCCUUGGCGGAGGCUGAACACAUGAGCCUACUGAAAUCUAUUCUACUGAAUUGACUACAAGAAGAUGGUAUCUUAAGUUGCAGUUAAAAUAUAAAGAGUGGUUAUAUGUAGAGUCUCCGAGCAUGUUAUAUGGAAAUUCAAAUAAACUCAAGAAGAAAGACCAUGAUCAUAUAACAAAACUGCUUUGUUUUCUGUAGUCAAAAGUUUUCUAAGGAAACCUAGACUGACAAUACAUUUUCAUUUCAUUUGUGGAGCCCCUGGGAGAUGGAAAAUUCCCAGUUAGAUCCUACAAACCACUUGUUUCUUCAUAACCUCACCUGUCAUGACUAUUCUUCACUCUGCUUGAUACAGACUAGCAACCUUGCUGUUCCUCAGAGUAAAUGGUUGUGCUCAGGCCUCAGGGCUAUUGCACUGGUAAUACCCUUGCCUGGAAGAGUGUUCCCUACAUACUGACAUGGCACCUCCUGAACUUCCUACAGAUGUUUUCUCAAAUGCCACCAUGUCAGGGCUUUAUUUUGUCUCUUUUAUCUAUCAUUUGCACUUAUAACCUUCUAAGAUACUUAUAAUUUACUUUUUAUUACAGAUUACAGUGAGUUUAUAAAAUAUUUGUUCUUUAAUUCUAGGAGUUUUUAAAAUUUUCUUUUUUUCUUGUUAAUAACUGGAGCAUGCAAAGUACAUGAAAUGAUAAUCUGGCAGCUUAACAGCCAUUCAAUAUAUAAGUGGAAUGAGUGUGACAUGGAGCAUCUCACUUUCAAAUUCUAUUCUCAUAUAAAGUAUUAAUUCAAUUUGUUCACAGAUGUUUUAGGCUAUGUUAUUAAAAGAAACAGCAAUCUAAUCAUAUGUUUUCUCUGGAUUGUUCAAUCUAUAAGCCACAAUCAAUUUUUGAAAUUUUAAAAUUUUCAGGUUGGAUAUUAAAAUACAGCAGGGGCAUGACUUAUCCAUGGUGAAUUCAAUAUAGCUCACAUAUGGGUCAAAAUAAAGGAAAAUAUAAAAUAUGUUAUUUAGCAUAAUGAGCAUAGAGUACUUUGAAGAUAGUGAAAUGAAAGAAAGCGUUACAAAAGUAGCUUAAGAUAAAUUUAGAAGUUCAGAAUUGAGGGAAAACUAUUUAAAGAUGUGAGAGACUAUCAUUUUAAACCUAAGGAGAAAGAGUCAUUAAAGAAAUUGAAUGUAAAGAUUCAAGGAGAAGAAAUAAAUGAUGCAGAAGAUUCCUUAAAAAUGUGUGGGAAAAUGAGCUAUGAAAUACAAAUGCAAGCAUUAACUCCCAUCACAUGUUCCUCAGGGGGGAAAUUAAAGAAAAAAAGUUAGUGUGUGUGAAUGUGUCUUGCUGUACACCAGCAUGCAGAAAGUGAGACUGUGGCCACCUGGAUUGCUCACAUGAAAAAUUCCCUCAGAGUGUGGUGGUGGUGGUGGUAUAGUUGUUGGUGUGUGUGUGUGUGUGUGUGACAGAGAGAGAGAGUGUGUGUUUAUGGUAGUUCUAAGGGGUUGGAGAGGCUUGUAAGUGCAUUGAUAGGCUUGCCAUAAUAAAGAAGAAGAGUGUAACAGCUUUAAAAUAAUUCCCUGGUGUAGAGAUGAUGCGAUUUACUAAAAUCAUCAAAAUCUUAGUAAUGUAUUAAUAAUAUUGCUUUGUUUUUCUUAAAAUUUGAAUGUAGAAAUAUUCUCUAUGCUUUUGAAUAAAAUCCAACUUUACUGAACAAUACAUUGUAAUCAAAAUAUUGACACAUUAUUAUUAAAAAUGUCAUCUCGAUGUAAAGGUGAUUUCAAUGACUGGUUCAAUAAAUAAUCAAU